UACUGUGAGGUAUGCUGGAGGUAUCAGAAGUGCGAAUGCUGACAUAAGUAACGAUAAUGCGGGUGAAAAACCCGCACGCCGGAAGACCAAGGGUUCCUGUCCAACGUUAAUCGGGGCAGGGUGAGUCGACCCCUAAGGCGAGGCUGAAAAGCGUAGUCGAUGGGAAACGGGUUAAUAUUCCCGUACUGGUGGUAACUGCGAUGGGGGAACGGAGAAGGCUAGGUUGUCCGGGCGACGGUCGUCCCGGUUCAAGCAGGUAGGCAGAGUGAUUAGGCAAAUCCGGUCACUUAAUGCUGAGAUGUGAUGACGAACCACCAAGGUGGUGAAGCAAUUGAUGCCCCGCUUCCAGGAAAAGCCUCUAAGCUUCAGGUUACCAACAAUCGUACCCCAAACCGACACAGGUGGUCAGGUAGAGAAUACUCAGGCGCUUGAGAGAACUCGGGUGAAGGAACUAGGCAAAAUGGUGCCGUAACUUCGGGAGAAGGCACGCUGGCGGUAGGUAAAGUCCCUCGCGGACAGAGCUGAAGCCAGUCGAAGAUACCAGCUGGCUGCAACUGUUUAUUAAAAACACAGCACUGUGCAAACACGAAAGUGGACGUAUACGGUGUGACGCCUGCCCGGUGCUGGAAGGUUAAUUGAUGGGGUCAGCCGUAAGGCGAAGCUCCUGAUCGAAGCCCCAGUAAACGGCGGCCGUAACUAUAACGGUCCUAAGGUAGCGAAAUUCCUUGUCGGGUAAGUUCCGACCUGCACGAAUGGCGUAAUGAUGGCCAGGCUGUCUCCACCCGAGACUCAGUGAAAUUGAACUCGCUGUGAAGAUGCAGUGUACCCGCGGCAAGACGGAAAGACCCCGUGAACCUUUACUAUAGCUUGACACUGAACAUUGAGCCUUGAUGUGUAGGAUAGGUGGGAGGCUUUGAAGUGUGGACGCCAGUCUGCAUGGAGCCAACCUUGAAAUACCACCCUUUAACGUUUGAUGUUCUAACCUAGGCCCAUAAACUGGGUCGGGGACCGUGUCUGGUGGGUAGUUUGACUGGGGCGGUCUCCUCCUAAAGAGUAACGGAGGAGCACGAAGGUUGGCUAAGCAUGGUCGGACAUCAUGCGGUUAGUGCAAAGGCAUAAGCCAGCUUGACUGCGAGAGUGACGGCUCGAGCAGGUACGAAAGUAGGUCUUAGUGAUCCGGUGGUUCUGAAUGGAAGGGCCAUCGCUCAACGGAUAAAAGGUACUCCGGGGAUAACAGGCUGAUACCGCCCAAGAGUUCAUAUCGACGGCGGUGUUUGGCACCUCGAUGUCGGCUCAUCACAUCCUGGGGCUGAAGUAGGUCCCAAGGGUAUGGCUGUUCGCCAUUUAAAGUGGUACGCGAGCUGGGUUUAGAACGUCGUGAGACAGUUCGGUCCCUAUCUGCCGUGGGCGUUGGAAGAUUGAGAGGGGUUGCUCCUAGUACGAGAGGACCGGAGUGAACGCACCACUGGUGUUCGGGUUGUCAUGCCAAUGGCAUUGCCCGGUAGCUAAGUGCGGAAGAGAUAACCGCUGAAAGCAUCUAAGCGGGAAACUUGCCUCGAGAUGAGUCUUCCCUGUCACUUUAAGUGACCUAAAGGAACGUUUAAGACUAAGACGUUGAUAGGCUGGGUGUGUAAGCGUAGCGAUACGUUGAGCUAACCAGUACUAAUGAACCGUGAGGCUUAACCUGACAACACCGAAAGUGUUUUG
rnacentral:rRNA from 1 species